GACGAACGCUGGCGGCGUGCUUAACACAUGCAAGUCGAACGGCAAGGCCCUGUUUGCAGGGUACUCGAGUGGCGAACGGGUGAGUAAUACGUGGGUGAUCUGCCCUGCACUUCGGGAUAAGCCUGGGAAACUGGGUCUAUUACCGGAUCGGCGCCAUUUUGAGUGUGAUGGUUGGAAAGUUUUAUCGGUGUAGGAUGAGCUGGCGGCCGAUCAGCUUGUUGGUGGGGUAAUGGCUUACCAAGGCGGCGACGGGUAGCUGGACUGAGAGGGUGGCCCGCCACAUAGAGACUGAGAGGCGGCCGAGGCGGCGACGGGAGGAAGAAGGGGGGAAUCUUGAUCAAGGGGCGCAGGCCUGAUGAAGAGGCGCCGCGGGGGGGAUGACGGUCUUGGGGUUGUAGACUCCUUUCGCUAGGGACGAAGCUGUUUAUGACGGUACCGGGAGAAGAAGCACCGGCUAACUACGUG
rnacentral:rRNA from 1 species